rnacentral:rRNA from 1 species
GAUGAACGCUAGCGGCAGGCCUAACACAUGCAAGUCGAACGGUAACAGAGGGUGCUUGCACCCUGCUGACGAGUGGCGCACGGGUGCGGAACGCGUAUCGAACCUGCCCCUGUCAGGGGAAUAGCCCAUGGAAACGUGGAUUAAUGCCCCAUGGCAUCACGGGAUCGCAUGAUUUUGUGAUUAAAGAUUUAUCGGACAGGGAUGGCGAUGCGUGCCAUUAGUUAGUUGGUAAGGUAACGGCUUACCAAGGCAGCGAUGGCUAGGGGCCCUGAGAGGGGGAUCCCCCACACUGGUACUGAGACACGGACCAGACUCCUACGGGAGGCAGCAGUGAGGAAUAUUGGACAAUGGUGGGAACACUGAUCCAGCCAUGCCGCGUGCAGGAUGACUGCCCCUAUGGGUUUGUAAAACUGCUUUUAUACGGGAAGAAACCCAGGUACGUGUACCUGGCUGACGGUACCGUAAGAAUAAGGACCGGCU